GAAACAAGAGCUGGAGGGGCCGGCUCACAGGGCAGUGAGCUGAUACACAGGGGCUGCCAUUUGGAUCCCCAGCCCCCACCUACAAUGUGGGUGUGGCUGCCUAUGUUUUAUCCCAACCUUCAGAAGGUGAAGCUAUGGGAUCCCAGAGCAAGAUGGCUAGCCAGACUAACCAACCAGCCGCUCUGAGUUCAGCAAGAGACCCUGCCCUUAGAUACAAGGUGCAAACCCAAUGGAAGAAGACACACCCAUAUACACGUACACACACACUCACAUGAGAGCAUGCACACACACAGAUGUACCCCACAUCGAGACAUCCACAUGUAAAAACACUGAAGAAAGUCUAGAAUGACCCAACAGAUGCUAAAGGUCGUCUUCUGUUUGAGUAAGCCAGCGAUUCUUCCCUUUCGUGAGUCUAAAUAUACUGAUUUUGUAAUAAUGACCUAAGAGAUAAUACUAUGCUAGGUGUUUACUAUAUACCAUUCUGAAUCUUGUUUGUCAUGCAGUGAUAUAUAGAUAAUAUAAUACCUCAGAUUAUUUUUAGAUAUUCCACAAUUCUGUGAGUAUCAUAAACUUUAGAAUCACCCAGUGAUAAAGCAGAAAAGCCUCAAUUGUGGCUCCUGGAAACACUAUGAAUCUAAUGAAGCUAGACGCCAAAAUUGAUGUGCAAAGCCGGGGCCUAGAAAGAAAAUGAACGGUGGUGAAAGGGCUUUGGUCUUUUAAACUUCAUUGUACAGAUGAUUUACUGACAAUGAUGGGUCACUGACAGUCGCUCAGCUUAGCAGAGCUGAAAUGCAAGAUGCAUUCAGCAGCAACCGAACUUCAGAGUCUGAACCGUGACCUUUCUAUUGAUUGCUUUGGAAGUAUCGUCCAGGAGUGUGUGUGUUCACAUCACUUCUACCCUCCCUCUCCAUGCUGACUCCUCUAGUGCCCCCCCUCAAAUUCAUGCCUUAGUUUUACAUUUUAUAUUAAAGUUAUUAAACAAAAUUAACAAAUCUAUAAACAGUCAUGAACCUGAUCAUUUAAUGAAUACUAAUAACAGCCAUAAGUGAAAAACAGAAAGGCCAUGAUGAUGAUGGUGGUGGUGGUGGUGGCGGCAGCGGCAAUGAUAGUGAUGGUGACUGUGGUGAUGAUGACGGUGAUGAUGAUGGAGGGAUGGAGGGAGGGAAGAAGAGAAGCAAAGAGAGAAGGAAGGGGGAAGGAGAGAGGGAGGGAGGGAAGGAAGGAAGAGGAAGGGAGGAAUGAAGGCAGUCUUGCCUUGAUUGUAACCAUGUAUUCUUCCUUUGGUGUGUGACCAGUCCUUUGCAAGGCAGAUGUUUAUUGUAUAUUUGGAGCCCUCAGAAAUUCAGCCAUCAAAAGUAUUAGCAACUAAUUCAAAACAUAGUCCCAGAUAAUAAGGACUUCACAAAGACUAGCAAAACAUGGGGAUAGUUUUCCUAACAGUAGAAACAGAGAGCCCAAGAGGAAAUUAGAUAGGUAAUCAGUCUUUUUAAUGGCAGACAAAAGCCAAGAGCACUUUUAACAAGAGCGACUACCUGCAACUGAAGAGGUCAGGGAGUAAGAGAAGAGAGGAGCCUUUGGAGGGGCGGCCACAGCGCUGGGCACCUAGCCUGGCAGGAGCUGGGGCCAGCAAGCAGAUCAGUAACAGCCUCACCUGGCAGGGGAACAAAUAAUGAUUUCAGGAGUUGCAGUUAAAAAUCUCGCUGUGACAUCUACUCCCAUGCCAGCCGUGUCUCAGGAAAGUGCCUUAGACUGGCCAGAAAGUGUAGCCUAAUAAACAUCUCUCAAGUUUAUAUAAUUAAUUAUAUGUAAAUUAAAUAUAUAUAGAAAUAU
rnacentral:lncRNA from 1 species